rnacentral:sRNA from 12 species
GGGCAGCAAUGGCUUCGAUCGUGGGAGCUAGGUGGUACAGGGGGGCGUUAGACGAUGGAGCUAUAAGCGUUAAAAAUAACUAAACAUCAACGCUAUUAAGAUGG